AAAUGGCGCUAGAAGGAGGGCCUGAAAAUUAUUAAUGGCACAAGGCAGUCGUAAGACUCCUCCACCACCCAACUGCUCACCUAUAGUGACAAGAAGUCAUUAAAAUGAUAACAUCAUCCCUCAAACAACAACCA
rnacentral:pre_miRNA from 1 species